rnacentral:lncRNA from 1 species
GAACCCCAUGGAUUUGGGUUGGAUCUGGGGAGCCCCACGGCUUUGGGGGCGACCGUGGGGGGAUGUAGGGAGCCCCAUGGAUUUGGGGAUCCCCAAGGACCCCACAGAUGUGGGGCUGAGCAAGAUGCAAUGAAGGGAGCCCCAUGGAUUUGGGGGAUCCCCAAAGACCCCAGAGAUGUGGGGCUGAGCGAGGUGGGAUGAAGGGAACCCCAUGGAUUUGGGUUGAAUCUGGGGAGCCCCAUUGGUUUUGGGGGUGUCUGUGGGGGGAUGUAGGAAACCCCAUGGAUCUGGGUGGGAUCUGGGGAGCCCCAUGGAUUUGGGGAUCCCCAAGGACCCCACAGAUGUGGGGCUGGCCCAGGGGGGUGAAGGGAACCCCAUGGCUUUGGGGGCGUCCUUGGGGGGAUGUAGGGAACCCCAUGGAUCUGGGUGGGAUUUGGGGAUCCCCACGGGUUUGGGGGCGCCGGUGGGGCGGUGUGGGGCGGUGUGGGGCGGUGUGGGGCGGUGUGGGGCGGUGUGGGGCCGGCUCACUCUCGGCGAUGACGAGCGCCUCGGGGCUGAGCGCGGUGCCCAGCGCGUUGGACGCGAAGCAGCGGAAGCGGCCCUGGAGCCGCGCGGCGGCGCUGGCGUUGAUGAGCAGCGAACCCGAGCCCGGGCUCUGCCACACGCCCACGUGGGACCACGGAGAGAACGGGACAUCGUCG